GAUGAAGAACGUAGUGAAAUGCGAUAAGUAAUGUGAAUUGCAGAAUUCAGUGAAUCAUCGAAUCUUUGAACGCACAUUGCGCCCCCUGGUAUUCCGGGGGGCAUGCCUGUCCGAGCGUCAUUACAACCCUCAAGCUCAGCUUGGUGUUGGGCCCCGCCGCCCCGGCGGGCCCUAAAGUCAGUGGCGGUGCCGUCCGGCUCCGAGCGUAGUAAUUCUUCUCGCUCUGGAGGUCCGGUCGUGUGCUCGCCAGCAACCCCCAAUUUUUUUCAGGUUAACCUCGGAUCAGGUAGGGAUACCCGCUGAACUUAAGCAUAUCAAUAAGCGGAGGA
rnacentral:misc_RNA from 1 species